rnacentral:rRNA from 1 species
UGGGGAAUUUUGGACAAUGGGCGAAAGCCUGAUCCAGCAAUGCCGCGUGUGUGAAGAAGGCCUUCGGGUUGUAAAGCACUUUUGUCCGGAAAGAAAUCCUUGGCUCUAAUACAGUCGGGGGAUGACGGUACCGGAAGAAUAAGCACCGGCUAACUACGUGCCAGCAGCCGCGGUAAUACGUAGGGUGCAAGCGUUAAUCGGAAUUACUGGGCGUAAAGCGUGCGCAGGCGGUUUGCUAAGACCGAUGUGAAAUCCCCGGGCUCAACCUGGGAACUGCAUUGGUGACUGGUAGGCUAGAGUAUGGCAGAGGGGGGUAGAAUUCCACGUGUAGCAGUGAAAUGCGUAGAGAUGUGGAGGAAUACCGAUGGCGAAGGCAGCCCCCUGGGCCAAUACUGACGCUCAUGCACGAAAGCGUGGGGAGCAAACAGGAUUAGAUACCCUGGUAGUCCACGCCCUAAACGAUGUCAACUAGUUGUUGGGGAUUCAUUUCCUUAGUAACGUAGCUAACGCGUGAAGUUGACCGCCUGGGGAGUACGGUCGCAAGAUUAAAACUUAAAGGAAUUGACGGGGUCAUAGCUGUUUCCU